rnacentral:rRNA from 1 species
CAGCCGCCGCGGUAAUACGAAGGGGGCUAGCGUUGUUCGGAAUCACUGGGCGUAAAGGGUGCGUAGGCGGAUUCUUAAGUCAGGGGUGAAAUCCCGAGGCUCAACCUCGGAACUGCCUUUGAUACUGGGGAUCUUGAGUCCGGAAGAGGUGAGUGGAACUGCGAGUGUAGAGGUGAAAUUCGUAGAUAUUCGCAAGAACACCGGUGGCGAAGGCGGCUCACUGGUCCGGAACUGACGCUGAGGCACGACAGCGUGGGGAGCAAACAGGAUUAGAUACCCGCGUAGUCCCUGUCUCUUAUAC